CCAACGGCUCUUUUAAGAGCCACCUACUAUUGUCCCCAAAAGGGCUG
rfam:Manacus vitellinus contig13995, whole genome shotgun sequence.